AGCAGGGGUGCAUCCCUUUAAGGUCUAGGUCAUGUCCACUGAUGAGUGACCUUGACCAAAUACUGAAGGUCACAAAGCCAUCAUUAGUGUCUGCUCCCUC